UGAAACCGUUCAGGGGUAAACCUGAGAAACCCAAAAGAUCGAAUGGAGAGAUUCAUCGUCAACGGCACUGGCUCCCGUUGGUGCGCGAUGCCCCGAAUGGGACCAUUUGGUUCCACGGCGAGGUCACACCACCUUCGGCUUGAAUGUUCCGGUGCCGUAGUCGUGCACUUCUCCCCUAGUAGAACGUCGCGACCCGUUGUGUGUCGGUCUACGGCCCGAGCGGGCGCCUGUCGCGUCGCUUCGCGCGUACGCGGCAGACCCUCGGUUGCCUGGCCGGCUGCACGACGGUACUCCCACGGUAUCGGGCCGCAACCAAUCCAUUCUCGAAUGUCUGUGCGUCAGGCCCGCCGCAAGCUCGGUCAGUUUUACCCGGAGGUGCGGACCUAGUGCCGUCCCCGGGCCUGGCCAGCUGUUAGCAGGCGGUGUCCUCGGACUGGCCAAGCUUUGAAUUACCGGUCGGCGACGCUAUUGCUUUGGGUACUCUCAGGACCCGUCUUGAAACACGGACCAAGGAGUCUAACAUGUGCGCGAGUCAUUGGGAUGUAUAAACCUAAAGGCGCAAUGAAAGUGAAGGUCGGCCUUUGCGUCGAUCGAGGGAGGAUGGGCCGCGUUACGAUACGGCCCCGCACUCCCGGGGCGUCUCGUUCUCAUUGCGAGAAGAGGCGCACCCAGAGCGUACACGUUGGGACCCGAAAGAUGGUGAACUAUGCCUGGUCAGGACGAAGUCAGGGGAAACCCUGAUGGAGGUCCGUAGCGAUUCUGACGUGCAAAUCGAUCGUCGGAACUGGGUAUAGGGGCGAAAGACUAAUCGAACCAUCUAGUAGCUGGUUCCCUCCGAAGUUUCCCUCAGGAUAGCUGGCACUCGCUUGUUCCUUUCGAACGCGUGCGAGUCUCAUCUGGUAAAGCGAAUGAUUAGAGGCCUUGGGGCCGAAACGACCUCAACCUAUUCUCAAACUUUAAAUGGGUGAGAUCUCUGGCUUGCUUGGAUCAUGAAGCCACGAGAUUUUUUGGAUCAGAGUGCCAAGUGGGCCAUUUUUGGUAAGCAGAACUGGCGCUGUGGGAUGAACCAAACGCAGAGUUAAGGCGCCUAAGUCGACGCUUAUGGGAUACCAUGAAAGGCGUUGGUUGCUUAAGACAGCAGGACGGUGGCCAU
rnacentral:rRNA from 1 species